rnacentral:rRNA from 1 species
UGGGGAAUUUUGGACAAUGGGCGAAAGCCUGAUCCAGCAAUGCCGCGUGUGUGAAGAAGGCCUUCGGGUUGUAAAGCACUUUUGUCCGGAAAGAAAUGGCUCUGGUUAAUACCUGGGGUCGAUGACGGUACCGGAAGAAUAAGGACCGGCUAACUACGUGCCAGCAGCCGCGGUAAUACGUAGGGUCCAAGCGUUAAUCGGAAUUACUGGGCGUAAAGCGUGCGCAGGCGGUUGUGCAAGACCGAUGUGAAAUCCCCGAGCUUAACUUGGGAAUUGCAUUGGUGACUGCACGGCUAGAGUGUGUCAGAGGGGGGUAGAAUUCCACGUGUGGCAGUGAAAUGCGUAGAGAUGUGGAGGAAUACCGAUGGCGAAGGCAGCCCCCUGGGAUAACACUGACGCUCAUGCACGAAAGCGUGGGGAGCAAACAGGAUUAGAUACCCUGGUAGUCCACGCCCUAAACGAUGUCAACUAGUUGUUGGGGAUUCAUUUCCUUAGUAACGUAGCUAACGCGUGAAGUUGACCGCCU